UACAAGGACUGACAACUUUUUUGUUUAUAUAUAUAUAUAUAUAAACAAAAAAGUUGUCAGUCCUUGU